AAUGAAUAGAAAGGGACUGGGUUGACGUCCAGUAGAUCUUCAAUUUUCGCCAUCUUUGGCUUCAGUUUUUGGACUCGAUUUCUCACUCCAGAUAUAUAUGGAGCUCACUGGUAUCACGUUCAUUUGUUGGAAGUUCACGAAGAAGGCAAGCUGCCAAAUGUGUUGGAAUCGCUAAAAAACAUCCUUCAAACGCCGAUCAAGCCAUUUGUUCCCGCGGAUAACUCGAAUUUGGUCGAAGGACACGCGCCUUCCCCCAGCCCGCAUCCUGAUGACGUGCACAUAAACUACCAUCUAAAAAUCAGUCCACAAAUGUGGUUGGGAUGAAGGAGUG
rnacentral:lncRNA from 1 species